rnacentral:rRNA from 1 species
GUAGCUUGGUACACCAUAGACUGUGAGUUGCGAACGGGUGAGUAACGCGUAGGUAACCUGCCUAUUAGAGGGGGAUAACUAUUGGAAACGAUAGCUAAUACCGCAUAACAGUAUGUAACACAUGUUAGAUGCUUGAAAGAUGCAAUUGCAUCGCUAGUAGAUGGACCUGCGUUGUAUUAGCUAGUAGGUAGGGUAAAGGCCUACCUAGGCAACGAUACAUAGCCGACCUGAGAGGGUGAUCGGCCACACUGGGACUGAGACACGGCCCAAACUCCUACGGGAGGCAGCAGUGAGGAAUAUUGGUCAAUGGAGGAAACUCUGAACCAGCCAAGUCGCGUGAAGGAAGAAUGUCCUAAGGAUUGUAAACUUCUUUAGCGAGCGAGUAAGGACUUCCACGCGUUGGGAGUUUGAAAGUAGCUCGAGAAUAAGUAUCGGCUAACUCCGUGCCAGCAGCCGCGGUAAUACGGAGGAUACGAGCGUUAUCCGGAUUUAUUGGGUUUAAAGGGUGCGCAGGUGGUCUUGCAAGUCAGUGGUGAAAAGCUGAGGCUCAACCUCAGCCUUGCCGUUGAAACUGUAAGACUUGAGAGUACAUGAUGUGGGCGGAAUGCGUAGUGUAGCGGUGAAAUGCGUAGAUAUAUGGAGGAACACCGGUGGCGAAAGCGGCUCUCUGGUCUGUAACUGACGCUGAGGCUCGAAAGCGUGGGGAGCGAACAGGAUUAGAUACCCUGGUAGUCCACGCCGUAAACGAUGAGUGCUAGGUGUUAGGUCCUUUCCGGGACUUAGUGCCGCAGC